rnacentral:lncRNA from 1 species
UCUGAGUUCGCCAGAAUUCGUUGGAGUAACUUUCACCAUGAAACUGUUGGCAGGCCUUCUGGUGCUGAGCGUGUUGGCCGCUGUGGCCACAGCGACCACGCCCACAUGUCCCGAAGAUGACGGCGCCACGGCCGUCUUCUAUCCAGACGACACGGACACACACGGCUUCUGGGAGUGCAGCAACGGCAUAGCUGUCCACCUGGAGUGCCCAGCUGGACUCGUCUGGAACGCCAAUAUCAACGCCUGCGACUGGCCGUCCUCAAGGAAGUAGAAGAUGCGAGCUUGCCCCGUUACCAAUAGAUGUUUGCUAAGAAAACCUCAGAAUAAAAUUCGCGUGUCUUAUGACUGUGGCUGAUAAUGUACUAUCUGUAUUUCCUAUGCUACCAUUGAAUGUAAUUGUUAUUAUGCUUGUCAACAUGUUCAUUCUUAAUAAAUAACUGUUGCAAAAUAUA